CCGGGAAUUUUGGGCAAUGGGCGAAAGCCUGACCCAGCAACGCCGCGUGAAGGAUGAAGUAUUUCGGUAUGUAAACUUCGUAAGAAUAGGAAGAAUAAAUGACGGUACUAUUUGUAAGGUCCGACUAACUACGUGCCAGCAGCCGCGGUAAUACGUAGGGACCAAGCGUUGUUCGGAUUUACUGGGCGUAAAGGGCGCGUAGGCGGUUUGUCAAGUCAGUUGUGAAAUCUCCGAGCUUAACUCGGAACGGUCAACUGAUACUGUCAAACUAGAGUACAGAAGGGGCAAUCGGAAUUCUUGGUGUAGCGGUGAAAUGCGUAGAUAUCAAGAGGAACACCUGAGGCGAAGGCGGGUUGCUGGGCUGAUACUGACGCUGAAGCGCGAAAGCUAGGGUAGCAAACGGGAUUAGAUACCCUUGUAGUCCCUGAGCGGGCUGGCAAGGCGCAU
rnacentral:rRNA from 1 species